AGUAAGAAAUAACUAAGAGCGGAUGGUGGAUGACUUGGCUCUGAGAGGCGAUGAAGGACGUGAUAAGCUACGAUAAGCUGCAGGUAUUUGCUAUUAUAUAGAGUUAAUCUGCAGAUUUCCGAAUGGGGCAACCUACUAUAUUGAAGAUAUAGUAUUACAUAAAGUAAGGCAAACCUAGGGAACUGAAACAUCUAAGUACCUAGAGGAAAAUAAAACAAAUGUGAUUCUGUAAGUAGUGGCGAGCGAAAAUGGAGAAAGCCUAAACCGCCAAGUGUUUCGGCUUUGGCGGGGUUAUAGGUCUACAAUAUAGAAUGAAAUUAUGUAGUAGAAUGAUCUGGAAAGGUCAAUCAAAGAGGGUGAUAAUCCCGUAUACGAAAUGUGAUUUCUACUAAGUAGAAACCUGAGUAUGGUGGGACAUGUGAAAUCCUGUCUAAAUUUACCGGAGCCAUCCGGCAAGGCUAAAUACUCCUCAGAGACCGAUAGUGAACUAGUACCGUGAGGGAAAGGUGAAAAGAACUUUGAAAAAAGAGUGAAAUAGAACCUGAAACCAUUCGUUUACAAGCGGUCGAAGCCUUUUUGUAGGGUGACGGCGUGCCUUUUGCAUAAUGAAUCUACGAGUUAAUAUUUACUGGCAAGGUUAAGCAGUUCAGCUGUGGAGCCGAAGCGAAAGCGAGUCUUAAUAAGGCUAAUAGUCAGUAGUAUUAGACGCGAAACCGGGUGAUCUAUCUAUGGGCAGGUUGAAGCUUUGGUAAAACAAAGUGAAGGACCGAACCGGUAGACGUUGAAAAGUCUUCGGAUGACCUGUGGAUAGGGGUGAAAGGCCAAUCAAACUCGGAGAUAGCUCGUACUCCCCGAAAUGCAUUUAGGUGCAGCGUUGUAUUAAGUAUUAUAGAGGUAGAGCUACUGAUUGGAUGCGGGGGUUUCAUCACCUACUAAUUUCUGACAAACUCCGAAUGCUAUAAUAUGUUUUACAAUAGUGAGGGUAUGGGUGAUAAGGUCCAUAUCCGAGAGGGAAAGAACCCAGACCAACAGCUAAGGCCCCUAAGUAUAUGCUAAGUUGAUAAAACAAGGUUUGGUUACUAUAACAGCUAGGAUGUAAGCUCGGAAGCAGCUAUUCAUUUAAAGAGUGCGUAUCAGCUCACUAGUCUAGUAAUUGAGCAUGGAUAAUAAUCGGGCAUAAGCAUAUCGCCGAAGCUUUGGGAUUUAAAAUCGGUAGGGGAGCAUUGUAAAUAACGUAGAAGCUAUUUUGUGAAGAAUAGUGGAGUUCUUACAAAAGAAAAUGUAGAUAUAAGUAACGAUAAUGCAGAUGAGAGAUCUGCACACCGAUAGACUAAGGUUUCCUCAGCUAUGUUAAUCAUCUGGGGGUUAGUCGGGGCCUAAGAUUAAGUCGAAAGGCUAUAUCGAUGGAUAAGCAGUAAAUAUUCUGCUACUUGCUUUUAUUGUGAUGGGGUGACGAAGAUAUGAAACCAUCGCGUGUAGACGGAAUUGCACGUUGAAGUAAUCGGGUCUAAUAUAUAUAGAAAAAACCGUAUAUGUUGCUCAGUUGCAAGAGUACCAUAAUCUCUUUAUGGGAAAAUGGAUAGUAUGGCUAAAGGCUUCCAAGAAAAUCCCCUAAACCUCAGAUAAAAGCAACCCGUACCAAAACCGACACAGGUAGUCAAGGAGAGAAUCCUAAGGUGUUCGAGUGAAUCACGGCUAAGGAACUAGGCAAAAUAUACCUGUAACUUAGGGAGAAAGGUAGCCUUCUAACUUAAGUUAGAGAGUUAGAAGGCCGCAGUGAAAAGAUCCAGACGACUGUUUAACAAAAACAUAGGGCUCUGCUAAAUCGAAAGAUGACGUAUAGGGUCUGAUACCUGCCCGGUGCUGGAAGGUUAAGGAAGGAGGUUAACUUUUGUGAAGCCUACGACUGAAGCCCCAGCAAACGGCGGCUGUAACUAUAACGGUCCUAAGGUAGCGAAAUUCCUUGUCGGGUAAGUUCCGACCUGCACGAAUGGUGUAACGAUCUGGAUACUGUCUCGGCCGUGAGCUCGGUGAAAUUGUAGUAUCGGUGAAGAUGCCGAUUUCUCGCAAUGGGACGAAAAGACCCUGUGAACCUUUACUAUAGCUUCGUAUUGACUUUGGAUAAAUAAUGUAUAGGAUAGGUGGGAGACUUUGAAGUAUGACCGCAAGGGGAUAUGGAGUCAUCCUUGAAAUACCACCCUUUAUUUAUCUGAAACCUAACUCGGUAACGAGGACAGUGCGUGGUGGGUAGUUUGACUGGGGUGGUCGCCUCCUAAAGAGUAACGGAGGCUUUCAACGGUACCCUCAGCACGCUUGGUAACCGUGCUAAAGAGUGUAAUGGCAUAAGGGUGCUUGACUGUGAGACUAACAAGUCGAUCAGGUACGAAAGUAGGACAUAGUGAUCCGGUGGUUCCAAAUGGGAGGGUCAUCGCUCAAAGGAUAAAAGGUACUCCAGGGAUAACAGGCUAGUCUCCCCCAAGAGCUCAUAUCGACGGGGAGGUUCGGCACCUCGAUGUCGGCUCGUCACAUCCUGGGGCUGAAGAAGGUCCCAAGGGUUGGGCUGUUCGCCCAUUAAAGUGGCACGCGAGCUGGGUUCAGAACGUCGUGAGACAGUUCGGUUUCUAUCUAUUGCGAGCGUUAGAAGCUUGAGUAGAGCUAACUAUAGUACGAGAGGACCUAGUUGGACUAACCUCUGGUUUAUCAGUUGUGCUGCCAAGUGCAACGCUGAGUAGCUAUGUUAGGGAAAGAUAAGCACUGAAAGCAUAUAAGUGCGAAACUCUCUACAAGAUUAGGCUUCUUUUUAAGAGACGUUGAAGAUUACGACGUUGAUAGGCUAUAGGUGUAAAGGCAGUAAUGUCAUAGCCAAGUAGUACUAAUUUCUCGUUAGUUUCUACUAA
rfam:Candidatus Tzinura diaspidicola str. ASNER, complete genome.